rnacentral:rRNA from 1 species
CCGGCGCACGGGUGAGUAACACGUAUGCAACCUGGCCGUGACAGAUGGAUAACCGGGAGAAAUCCCGCCUAAUACAACAUAAUGCCGGGAGGGGACAUCCCCUGCCGGUCAAAGGGGGCGACCCUGGUCAUGGAUGGGCAUGCGGCGCAUUAGGUAGUUGGUGGGGCAACGGCCCACCAAGCCGACGAUGCGUAGGGGUUCUGAGAGGAAGGUCCCCCACAUUGGAACUGAGACACGGUCCAAACUCCUACGGGAGGCAGCAG